ensembl:lncRNA
AGCUGAUACGCACCUCCCCCUUCCGGGUUUACCUGGCUGCAGGUUCGGCAGACGCUCGGCACUCUCUGCAGGGUUGUGCAAAUUGUUCCACCGUGCAGGCGCUGGCAGGUCGGACUGCGUGUUUGCUCGUUUUGUCCCGGAGCUAUGCCACGCUGAGGUCCCGACUGCCCUGACCCGUUUUGGACUGCUGCUGCUUUGUGUGGGGAUAAAACCCACACUUUUUACGGACCUUGCCUGCUGCUGCGUUCGGGUGCUGAGGGCCUCACUGGUGAUCCUGUUUGGUGAUGGUGUCCCUUCGUGUGUAGUGUCUUAUUCACUCCCCUCCUUUGUUUUGCUUUGCCCUUGUGUGUUUGGAGUGUUAAUUUUGGAUUGUGGUGCUCCCAUUUUAAGUUUAUACUUUCACCCCUCACUCACCUUGAGCACAAAUGCCCCAGCCCUGGAAUACAUGAUAAUUUAUACAAAUAGGAUAACUUUUUUAGAUUUGAAUUGUGCCCAAUAAACUGUUGUAUAUGCUUUUGGAAACACGUCUCUCGCCUGCUCAGUGUAACGAACUUGUGUUGUCCUUUUGUUUAGAUUUAGUAAUUUACCUUAUUCAUAGAUUUCUUUCUUUUCCCUGGGUGAUUUCUCCCAGGGUGGCGUUGCUGGUUUCCUUUAGUUUCUUUCUUUUUCCCCUAGUUAAAAACAUAGAUUAUUGGGGUAGUUCCUACCCCACCUCACGCUUGCCACAAACUUGGCGUUGCUGGCAGGACUUAUACUGAAAAAAAAAAAGGCAGAGACGUGUGUUCCUUUGUUUUUUGUUGUUUGUUUUUUUGUUUUUUUUGUUUUUCUGAAUAAGACAAAGCAGCAGCAGUCCCCUGGCAACCAUGGAGGAAGAAAUGCAAGAGUUGCGAGCUCUGGUUGCGCAGUUAAAGGCUGACAAUGAGAGGUUGCGUCAAGCUUCGUUGGUGCCGCCCUCUAGUGCUACACCUUCAACCUCCUCAGUACUGCCGACUGCCCUUACUUCUGCCAGUGCCCCUGCAGCCGAGAGGUGCUGAGGGCCUCACUGGUGAUCCUGUUUGGUGAUGGUGUCCCUUCGUGUGUAGUGUCUUAUUCACUCCCCUCCUUUGUUUUGCUUUGCCCUUGUGUGUUUGGAGUGUUAAUUUUGGAUUGUGGUGCUCCCAUUUUAAGUUUAUACUUUCACCCCUCACUCACCUUGAGCACAAAUGCCCCAGCCCUGGAAUACAUGAUAAUUUAUACAAAUAGGAUAACUUUUUUAGAUUUGAAUUGUGCCCAAUAAACUGUUGUAUAUGCUUUUGGAAACACGUCUCUCGCCUGCUCAGUGUAACGAACUUGUGUUGUCCUUUUGUUUAGAUUUAGUAACUUACCUUAUUCAUAGAUUUCUUUCUUUUCCCUGGGUGAUUUCUCCCAGGGUGGCGUUGCUGGUUUCCUUUAGUUUCUUUCUUUUUCCCCUAGUUAAAAACAUAGAUUAUUGGGGUAGUUCCUACCCCACCUCACGCUUGCCACACUACC